UUGCCAACUCGUAAAAAUUAUGUUUUUAUUGAACAAUCGUCCCAAGUGACACAUGGAUUCUACUGCGCAUGUCAAUACAUUUCAUUCAUAAAAUUCAAGCACAGGUGCGUGGAAUUUACUACGAUUUACUACGAUCUACUACAGUUGCUACAAUUGGAUCUUCACAAAAAUACAAGACAUACAGUUGGAUUAUUCAGUGGAUUAUUACUAUGAACUGGUAAAUUAUUACAUGAACUUCAACUGGUUUAUCAAAUAUAUGCAAAUGACAGUAAUUCAAUAUUUCUACAAGAAUCAUAAUAUUGUAAUUGUUCUAACUUUACUUUAUUAAAUGUUAAUUAAAACUUAUUUGCUUCAAUUAUCAUAUGUUCCAGACUACAAGCAUUACAAGUAGUAUAAUACAAGUUAUUUCACACAGUUACUGUUUCCUACAUAAUAACUUUCAUAAAAAAUACAGAAUAUUAAACAGUAUGCUUUAUCAAUACCAAUUUAAAACAUACAUCAAAAAUAUCUUACAUGUCUAUCACACGUCACAAUAAAAUACAUGUACCCUAGUCGUCGUACUCUACAUUUUACCCCCUUUCCAUUAUUUGCGUCCCCGCAAAUACUUUAAACUUUUGCAAAAGUUUCCAUUUCAAAAUUUUUCUAUGUCUUAAAUACAUAUUCUUCUUAAAAAGAAAUUAUUUCUAAAACUGGAAUGAAAUUAGCUUUCUUAUUAAUACAAUCUAUGAUUAUAACACAAAUACAUCAUAAUAUAAUACCAGAUAUGUAAAAAUUAUACAUAAUUAUAUGUCUUUUUAUAUUAAUUUUACAGAUACACCAGUUAUUAUAUUUUAAUAUUAUAUUUUACAGAUACACCUGAAGUUUCACCAUUAUGACCAUCAGCACGAGGGCAGUAGAUACCGAUGACAGACAUAUAUAUGUACCAAAUGUGGAAAAUUACUGAACGUUAUGAACAAACUGGAACAUGGCUAAGAACCAGAGGUUUCUGAAGGAAAAUUUUAGUUACCAUGCAAACAGUACCAAAAUAUUUAAAUAUAAGUUCAAAAAUACACCCAAAAUUUAACUUUUCACACUUAAAAGCU
rnacentral:lncRNA from 1 species